AAGUGCGUUCAGUGUUUCCUACAAUCAAGAGAACCAGCUCAUGGGAAUGAAUGCAUUUCCUGACUACAGGGAAUUGGCCCUGUGAAAGUCAGUUAUCUUGUGUCCAUAGGGGAGAAAGAGCCCUGAUGUUUGCACCUGACAGAUCAGCAUUUAGCCCUGGCUCUGCCUCUGGCCAGAUGACCUUAACUUCCUCAAGUUGCCUUUGUGAGCUUCCGUGCGCCCGUUUGUAAAACCCCAGGAGAACCGGGACCUAAAAUCAGUACGAUUUGCUAAGCACCUACUGCAUGCUAAGCAUUUUAUACAUGCUGUGAUUUAAUUCCUAGAGUAGCAAUUAUCAUCCCCAUUUUCCUGAUGAGGAAACUUUUGAUCAGAGAAGCCACUUGAAUCACCCAAGGGUAAUUCAGGGCAGGAGAGCUGAUCUUCUAAACUGGGAUCAUCUGAUUUUGAAACCUAUGUUCUUCUCACCUAUGAAGCUGCUGAAAGGAAAAUAUCUCUGAUGUAGAGGCAGCACGCAGAAAAAAAAAAAAAAAAGUGGCUGCACUUGACUGUGAUGACAAGAUCCACUUUGUGAGGAUGAAAGUAUGUAAAAUAAUCCAUGUUUGAUCUAGGGGAUGGUCCCUCUGUAAUUGGUCGCUUAUUUCAUGGAAGCUUCUGACUCCUUCUGAGACUCAGUUUCCCCCUUUUAAAUUUAGGAAACUAUUGCCUUCUUUGCUGGGUUGUUGUGAAAAUCAUUGUUGGUGAGGUAUAGGAAAGAGCUUAGCAUAUAGUAUGUGUUUUUACAAGCAAAGUCCUCAUGGGCCUCUCCUUCUGGAGUCUGCCCCAUUGGUACUCAGUAGAUUUCCUCUGUGUGUGUGGUUUUUUUUUGUUUGUUUGUUUGUUUGUUUUGUCUUUUUAGGGCCGCACCUGCAGCAUAUGGAGGUUCCCAGGCUAGGGUUCCAAUCGGAGUCAUAGCCACCAGCCUACACCACAGCCACAGCAACUCAAGAUCUGAGCCACGUCUGCGACCACAGUUCACGGCAAUGCCAGAUCCUUAACCCUCUGAGCAAGGCCAGGGAUCAGACCCGUGUCCUCAUGGUUGCUAGUCGGGUUCAUUAACUGCUGAACCAUGACGGGAACUCCUUCUCUGUGUGUAUUUGAGCACAUGCCCCUAUGCUGGCCAUUCCUGGAGCUGGUUCCCCCCAAAGAUCAUGACACCUUGGGCCCUCCUGAUGGAGACCCCUUGGAAAACUUAUUUCAAGGGAACAGAGAAGGACAGCAUCCUAGACAAGAAGAGGUUGGCUAGGGAUCUCUAAUCCCAGAAUCCUCAGCCUGCCACAGAUGUCUCAGAGGCCCCUGUAGUGCAGAGGGGCUUCCAUACAAACCAGCAUCCUUCAAUGUGCCCUCAGCUUUGGCCUCAAGCCCCUUUAGUCACAUCCUGCCCACUUGCUAACCCAAUGACAAAAGAGAGAAUGUGACCCUGGGUCUCAGGAAAUGACUGGCCUCAAGGCACACAUGUCAUGUUCAGUGUAUAGUUGACACUGUUCUUAUGGGAAAUAAAUUUUUUUUUACAUUCUUAAGUAUUUUAUUCUACUUCUUUUUUCUUUCUUUCUUUCUUUUUUUUUUGGCCACAUCCUUGGCUGGUGGAUGUUCCUGGGCUGGGAAUUGAACCCAAGCCAUAGCAGUGACCUGAGCCAUAGCAGUGACAAUGCCAGAUCAUUAGCCUUCUGAGCCACCAGGGAACUCCUUGUUCCACUUCUUCAUACCACUUUGUUUUAAUAUAAAACAAGGCCGCCUACCACCACCACUGCUCUGAGGGGGGGGGGUUGCCCUUCUACUCUGGGCUACACUCUUGUACCCUACGGGGUUGGCAUACCCCAGGUGGGGAGGCCAGGCCCUGGGGUGUUCCGACCCUUCCUCUGAAAGGUCUGAGGCCUAGUGCCUUGGCCCAUAGAAACCCACAGACUCCAGAAUGGCAUUUCAUCCUUGUCCUUGGGGUGGCGAGACAGAAAGGAACUUGAGUUUCCCCGACAGAUUGAGCUGGGUCAGAGAAGCAGGCGAUCCUGCCACCACUCCUGCAAUCUAGGCUUGUGGCCGAGGUUGGGGAUUGCAAUAUGAUGUUCUUUCCAUAGGUAUGAAUAGGGACAUGGAUUUCUAUGCUCAGGUGGCCGUGACAAGUUGACCAGAGGUGGCAGGUGUGAUGACAUCUAUUUGUCAUGCAACAGUGGCAUUGAUAGCCAAAUGUGCUGGAAGUGUAUGGCCAUCUCUGUCACAUCCUGCUCUCUCUGGAGACACUGUCUUCUCCUUGGUGCAGGUGGAGCUCCCUGUGUUCCAGAAGACCACAAAUCGACUGGACGUAUCUGUCAUGCCUCCCCCACUUGCCCAGAGCAGAUAUGGCUGAUCAAUCCUGACAUUCUUUCCCACGCAGCCAGAAUCCUCAACAAUUGCCUGGAGUGGGCUCACGAAAUGGUGUUUUGUUGGGUGUGUAGACAGUAAGAAGAUGAGGUGUUUUAAGCCACAGGAGUAAGAUGACGGCCCCCUCACCUUUCUGCAUGCCCCUCCUACAAGCCAUAGGGACACUGAUAAAAUCUGUCCCUGUGCAGCCCAACGUGUCCCCAGACUUGCUAAAGACAGAAGUGCAAGCAAGCUCUUUGUUGUGACCUCCAGGUUGUCCCGAUGCAGUGUUGCCAGUGGGCCUCGGGAGCUCAUCAAGGUGUCAGCAGGGUUGGUUUCCUCGGAGGCAUCGCUCCUUGGCAUGUAGACGGCUGCCUUCUCCCUGUGUGCUCACGUGGUCUUCCCUCUAAUUGCGCUUGUGUCCUAAUCUCCUCUUUUAUUUAUUUCUUUGUUCUUUGUUUUUACUUUUUAGGGCUACACCCUCGGAAUAUGAAGGUUCCCAGGCUAGGAGUCCAGUCAGAGCUGUAGCUGCCAGUCUAUGCCAGAGCCACAGCAAUGCCAGAUCCAAGCAGCAUCUGCAACCUACAACACAGCCUAUGGCAAUGCCAGAUCCUUAACCCACUUAACCCAUCAGGGAUCGAACCUGCAUCCUCAGGGAUGCUAGUCAGAUUCCUUAAACACUGAGCCACAAGGGAACUCCCUAAUCUCCUCUUCUUACAAGAACUCUAGCCAUGUUGGGUUAGGGCCACCCUUUGACUUCCUUUUACCUUGGUUACCUCUUAAAAGGCCCAAUCUCCAAAUAUGGGCAUAUUCGAGGUACUGGGAAUUAGGUCCUGAACAUAUGAAUUGUGGGGAGCAGGAGACACAAUGAAGUCUGUAGCAACAACUGCAGGAAUGAGACUUGAACUUGGCCUGUUUGAGGGAGUAUGGCCCUCCUUUGCAAUGAGGCCUCAUGCAAAGGAACAGCCAUGAGCACCAGGUGCCUGAAAUGGAUGGUACUGCCAUCCACUUGCUAGGAUGGAUGGACCUGCCAUGCAAACUUCCAUCAGUAGUACAGCUGUUCAGGAGUUCCCAUCAUGGCUCAGCACUGACUAGUAUCCAUGGACGCAGGUUUGAUCCCUGGCCUUGCUCAGUGGGUUAAGGAUCCAGUGUUGCCAUGAGCUGUGGUGUAGGUCACAGAUGCCGCUGGAUCUGUGGCUGUGGUGUAUGUUGGCAGCUGCAGCUCCAAUUUGACCCCUAGCCUGGGAACCUCCAUAUGCCACGGAUGCGGCCCUAAAAAGCAAAAAAAAUGAAAGGGGGGGAGGGCUACCUCUGUGGGACUGUGGCCAGGAUGCUGGAAGGAUGGUAAAGAAAGGUGACCCAGUUAUCAAUACCUUGGCUCGUUAGACUCACAAAUUAGGGGAUCUUAGAGAUAUUCUCCCCGUGGGGGCCAGGGGAGGGGGGACAUGAGAGCCUCUGGGUUGUCCAAUCCCCCUUUCUUGGCUCUAACUCUUAACUCUACCGCUUAUGGCUGUGUGACUGCUGAUAAAUCACUCCAACACUCUGAGCUCCAGUUUUCCCAUGGGUAAAGUGGAGGUGGGAAGGCUGACCCCCGAAGCUUUAGGAGGUUCUUACAGAAGCAAACAUGGGAAAUUAACUAGUGCCAUGCUUAUUUCACACCAGGCCUACAGCGAUGUGUGAGGGAUCUGAAUCUGAUUCUAGAAGCAUAUCUUAUGUUGCAAGAAUGAAACAGAGAAAUUCCCAAAGCAUCAUCUGGGAGGCUCACAGUAAUAUUGAGAUUCAAAGGCCCAACCCUGAACCCCUGAGCCAGCACUUCCUGGCACAGAGCUGGCAAUGCACUUUUUUUUUUUUUAAGCUUUUUAGGGCCACAACUGCAGCAUAUGGGAGUUCCCAGGCUAGGGAUCGAAUUGGAGUGGUAGCCACUGGCCUACACCACAGCCACAGCAAUGCCAGACAGAUCCGAGCCACGUCUUUGACCUACACCACAGCUCAUGGCAACGCUGGAUCCUUAACCUACUGAGCAAGGCCAGGGAUCAAACCCGCAUCCUCAUGGAUACUAGCCAGUUUCGUUUCCACUGCGCCACAACAGGAACCUCCCAGUGCACAUUUCAACAAGCCCUGAGAGAUGGCUGGUACACUCAACUAAAGUUUGAGAAUCACAGACCCGGCUUGGGGAAAUGAGCAUCAUUGGCACCCUUGCAAACUGUGGACUCAUCCAAGUCCACAGCUCCUUCUGUCUGGACAGGAACACAAAUGCCCUCGUUCUCCUUCUAGACCUGGAGAGACACACCGUCACUCCCACAGCGGGCUUCACUCAAGGGUGUCUUGUAAUUUCCUGAUUUCCACAAAAGUCACGAUGCAGGCAGCUGUCAGCACUGCCUGUAGCCAAAGCUCUGCUGUCCAGGCUGAUGUGGCCUUGAUCUCCAUUGCACCAGCCCUGGAAAAUCACAGAAGGACAAACAGCCAAGGCCGUGUCUGGAAAGAAACUUGUGCUUCCAGGUCUAAGGCGACUGUCUUUAACCACUACGUUUUUUACCACGAAAGUUCAGAAGUGCUCCAGUUUCCAUCUAUGUGGUCACCUUUGGUAUGUCUUAUGGUAAUUUUUUUUUUUUUUUAUCUUUACAUAGAGUGAACCUUGCGUGGGAGGAAAAAGAUGCUAAUAGCAUAAUAGCUGAGUCCUUUGGGUUCAGAGCAAGAAAGGUUUACUAUCUAUUUUCAAUGGUUAUUUGUUCCGAAAAAAAUUUUUUUUCUGAUUAUUCAAGUUACAGAUACACUUUGUAGAAAUCUGGGGACAUUCUGAAACAUCCUAAAAAGGGAGGAGUUUCCAUCGUGGCACAGCGGAAAUGAAUCUGACUAGGAACCAUAAGGUUGCAGGUUCGAUCCCUGGCCUCGCUCAGUGGAUUAAGGAUCUGGCAUUGCUGUGAGCUGUGGUGUAGGUCACAGUUGCAGCUUGGAUCCCGCAUUGCUGUGGCUGUGGUGGAGGCCGGCAGCUGUAGCUCUAAUUUGACCCCUAGCCUGGGAACUU
rnacentral:lncRNA from 1 species